rnacentral:rRNA from 1 species
CCUACGGGGGGCUGCAGUGAGGAAUAUUGGUCAAUGGACGAGAGUCUGAACCAGCCAAGUAGCGUGAAGGAUGACUGCCCUAUGGGUUGUAAACUUCUUUUAUAAAGGAAUAAAACGAGGCACGUGUGCCUUUUUGCAUGUACUUUAUGAAUAAGGAUCGGCUAACUCCGUGCCAGCAGCCGCGGUAAUACGGGGGAUCCGAGCGUUAUCCGGAUUUAUUGGGUUUAAAGGGAGCGUAGAUGGGUUGUUAAGUCAGUUGUGAAAGUUUGCGGCUCAACCGUAAAAUUGCAAUUGAUACUGGCAGUCGUGAGUACAGUUGAGGUAGGCGGAAUUCGUGGUGUAGCGGUGAAAUGCUUAGAUAUCACGAAGAACCCCGAUUGCGAAGGCAGCUUACUAAACUGUGACUGACAUUGAUGCUCGAAAGUGUGGGUAUCAAACAGGAUUAGAUACCCGGGUAGUC